GACAGAGGAUGCAAGCGUUAUCCGGAAUGAUUGGGCGUAAAGCGUCUGUAGGUGGCUUUUUAAGUCCGCCGUCAAAUCCCAGGGCUCAACCCUGGACAGGCGGUGGAAACUACCAAGCUGGAGUACGGUAGGGGCAGAGGGAAUUUCCGGUGGAGCGGUGAAAUGCGUAGAGAUGUGGAGGAACACCAGUGGCGAAGGCGACUCUUCGGUCUGUAACUGACGCUGAGGCGCGGAAGCGUGGGGAGCAAACAGG
rnacentral:rRNA from 1 species